rnacentral:rRNA from 1 species
GUGCCAGCCACCGCGGUAAUACCGGCAGCCCAAGUGAUGGCCGAUCUUAUUGGGCCUAAAGCGUCCGUAGCUGGCUGCGCAAGUCCGUCGGGAAAUCCACUCGCUCAACGAGUGGCCGUCCGGUGGAAACUCCACACCUUGGGACCGGAAGGCUCGAAGGGUACGGCCGGGGUAGGAGUGAAAUCCUGUAAUCCCGUCCGGACCACCGAUGGCGAAAGCACUUCGAGAAAACGGAUCCGACAGUGAGGGACGAAAGCUCGGGUCUCAAACCGGAUUAGAUACCCCAGUAGUCC